GCCAAAUUACGUGCCAGCAGUCGCGGUAAUACGUAAAAGACGAGUGUUAUUCAUCUUUAAUCGGUUUAAAGGGUACCUAGACGGAAAAUCAAGCUUAAUUAAACUAAGGACUAGUUUUCUAGAGUUUGACAUGAGAAGGUACGAACUAUCAGAGGAGAGAUAAAAUUUGUUGAUACUGGUGGGACGGACAACGGCGAAGGCAAUCUUCUACUAAAAACUGACGUUGAGGGACGAAGCCUUGGGGAGCGAGAAGGAUUAGAUACCCUAGUAGUCCUUGGAGAAAAUUAUGAGUGCCAUAGACUAAAGUGAAAAAGAAGUUCUUUUAAAAGAACUUUGUAUCUGAGCCUUAAUUGGAUACAAAGGUCUCGAGUAGCAGUUUAUAAAUGAAAGUGUAAGCAUUCCACCUCAUGACUAAAGCGGCAACGCCCAAAUUGAAAUCAUUAGACCGUUUCUGAAACCAGUAGUGAAGUAUGUUAUUUAAUUCGAUAACCCGCGAAUAACCUUACCACGUUUUGAAUUUAUUAAACAAGUGUUGCACGGCUGUCUUCAGUUAAUGUCGUGAGAUUUUGGUUUGUUCCAUUAAUUAACGAAAACCCUUGUUUCAUUUUUAUAUGAAAUAGUUCACCGUUAUAUUGGAAAGAUAAAAGGGAUCAAGACAAGUCAUCAUG
rnacentral:rRNA from 1 species